GGCCUUUUCAGUUAUCACUUUUCUCUGGUGCUCUGAUUGUUCGAUGUCAGCUUUCCAGCAAUAACACAUAGAGGAAAUGAACAUAUUUAUGUAUGCAUAAUAAUGGAAAGGAAAAGAAAUAAAAAUGGGUGAACAAUAUUGAAAAAUGAAGAGUUAUGUUUUAUGUUCGAAAAAGAAAAUAAUUAGCUCAGAGAGCGAAUAAUAUACCUUCUCUUCCCCUCUUUCUCUUCCUCUACUUUCUCUCUUCCCAAGCAUACCAUGAAGUUUUGUCACAGCAUUUGAUAUUUGCCAGAAGCAUAAGACAAGCAGUUGUUCGUUUUUGUUCCAUCACUUUCUGCUCUGUUCCUGUCCAUGCACUCUUUUUUUUUCAUCCUUUCCUUUUUCUUAUACCCUGUUAAUUGUAACCAUGCAGGUGGUAUCAAUAAUGAGGCUAAAAAAGUAAAAACAUUGAAACACUGUGCAAAAGUUUGCCGGGGAACACUCAGUGAGCUGUCGGUGGAACCUUUCUCUUUUAGUAUAAACAUUACAUUUAAUUUAGGACAACUGCUCCCCCAUAUAUUUUAAUAAUCCAUUCAUGUGAAAUUUCGUUAUUUAAUACAUAUAUAAUCCACGUUUCAAUCCCAUCGUAUCAGAAUUUCUCUUGAUUUAGUCGUUGCUGCUGCAUAAUAGAUUUAGUGUUGAGUGCCUGAUUUAAUCCUGUACAAAAACUUGCUUCUGAUAAAUAUAGUUAGCAGAAUCCAUUUUCCAAGUUGGUGUUUAGCUAAAUUAACACUUAACACAGUCUAAGAGACUGAAGAACUAAACUGGAUAUGGCAUUCGUGAUCCCAUAUCUAAAGUCAUCAUGCGUUUACUUUGUGGUAAGGCUGCUAUGGAAAAACUUUAGAACUCAAAAAUAGGCUAAAAUUUUUUUAACAAAAGUCAAAUAUUUAUAUAUAAAUGAAUAUUAAAGUAGUAGCUAGAGAAAGGCCGGAGAAGCUUCUUUUCUGCAUCAACAAAAACCAGCCCUUGCAGAGCUAAGUAGCUAACCAGACUGCAUAUCUAUCUCUCUCUCUAGCCAUUCUCCUGGUCUCGUUCUUGCUCCUCAACCUUUUGCUGGUCUGUAUUUUUCAAGUUCUUUCAUCGUGAACAACUUUGAUGUCUAUUCCAAAAGAACAUGAUUACAUAGGCUUAUCAGAGAAUUCUCCCAUGGAAAGAAUCUCUGACAAGCUUUCCUCUUCCUCUUCUUCCUCCUCUUCCUCUUCCUCCCACUCCUCCUCUUCCUCCCAAUCAACACAACAUGAGGGUAUGAAAGUCCAUUUGAUAAUGACAGAUUAUUGCAUGCCUGGGAUGAGUGGCUAUGAUUUACUCAAAAGAGUCAAGGGUUCUUCUUGGAAAGACGUUCCAGUCGUAGUUAUGUCGUCUGAAAAUAUACCUUCUAGAAUUAGCAUGUGCUUGGAAGGAGGAGCUGAGGAAUUCUUGUUGAAGCCUCUUCAGUUAUCAGAUAUGGAGAAGCUACAGCCUCAUCUUCUAAAAUCCCUUGACCACUCUUGUACUGAAGGAAUGGACAACAGUGGAAGCACCAACAACAACAAUAACAACAUCAAUAAUAAUAUUAGCAAGAGGAAGGCAAUAUCUCCUGAGCCCCCAGAAAGAAGACCUAAAAUGAAAGGACUAGCUGUUGUAUAGAUUUAGCUAGCUAGCUAGCGAGCUAUAUAUAUUGCAUAUAUAUACAUAUAUAUAUUACAUAUUUUUCUAACUAAUAUAUGCAUGGCUUAAUUAUAAUAUUGAGUGUGAACUUUUCCUCCCAUCAAUUCAUAAAUAUAACUGAAGUACGUUUUCUUAUAAUAAUAUCGUAUUCUUGCAUGCAUUGAUA
rnacentral:misc_RNA from 1 species